AAAAAAUUAAAGAAAAAGUGCUCCAAAAGCAGUGGAGCUUUAUAUCAGUCACUGGUGACAGAAAUUUGUCACGGCUGGCAAAAUCUGUGACUGAGGCUGGUCACAGAUAGAAGAUAGAGGUUCGGAGGUAUGGGGGGGGGGGUUGAAACGCAGAGUAUUUAUAAUUAGAGACAAGUACUGAGGUCCCCAAUAUUUUUUUUUU